rnacentral:rRNA from 1 species
AACACUGAGAAAUUGGUACUAAUUCCCCAUAAUAUUCGGAGAGGCAUCUCUCCGGGUUGAAAACUCCGGUGGUUAUAGAUGGACAUGCGUUGUAUUAGCUAGUUGGUGAGGUAACGGCUCACCAAGGCAACGAUACAUAGGGGGACUGAGAGGUUAACCCCCCACACUGGUACUGAGACACGGACCAGACUCCUACGGGAGGCAGCAUG